UUGAAUGAUCCGGUGAAGUG
rnacentral:siRNA from 1 species